ensembl:lncRNA
GUGAAAUGGCGCUGCUCGUCCUCCUGUUCUUCUUCCAUCUGAUUCUGGACAUUAACUCUCAAUAUGUUCCUCAGCCCCGGCUGUCCGUGUCUCCUGAAGUUCUCACAGAGAGAGGAUCAGUGCAGAUUCACUGUCAUGUUCCAGACAAUGUUAAAGUGUCUCUGUGUCAGUUCUACCCAGAGAGAGACAACACAAAUCUAAAACUCUCUCCAUCAUGUCAGCUCUCAGUCACUGGUUCUGAACUGAUCAGGUGGACAGGACGAAGUUCUCCUGGAACACUUCAUAUUACUUGUUUCUACACUGUGGAUAACUCUGUUCGUACUCCUUCUCCUCACUCUCUCCCAGCUCCAGUCACAGUGCUGA